GACGAACGCUGGCGGCGUGCUUAACACAUGCAAGUCGAACGAAAAGAGGGAAAGAGCUUGCUCUUUCCGGAAUUGAGUGGCAAACGGGUGAGUAACACGUAAACAACCUGCCUUCAGGAUGGGGACAACAGACGGAAACGACUGCUAAUACCGAAUAAGUUCCAAGGGCCGCAUGGCCCAUGGAAGAAAAGGUGGCCUCUACCUGUAAGCUAUCGCCUGAAGAGGGGUUUGCGUCUGAUUAGCUGGUUGGAGGGGUAACGGCCCACCAAGGCGACGAUCAGUAGCCGGUCUGGGAGGAUGAACGGCCACACUGGAACUGGGACACGGCCCAGACUCCUACGGGAGGCAGCAGUGGGGAAUCUUCCGCAAUGGGCGAAAGCCUGACGGAGCAACGCCGCGUGAGUGAUGACGGCCUUCGGGUUGUAAAACUCUGUGAUCCGGGACGAAAAGGCAGAGUGCGAAGAACAAACUGCAUUGACGGUACCGGAAAAGCAAGCCACGGCUAACUACGUG
rnacentral:rRNA from 1 species